rnacentral:rRNA from 1 species
GUGGGGAAUAUUGGACAAUGGGCGAAAGCCUGAUCCAGCCAUGCCGCGUGUGUGAAGAAGGCCUUCGGGUUGUAAAGCACUUUAAGCGAGGAGGAAUGGCUCUUGAUUAAUACUCGAGAGCAGUGACGUUACUCGCAGAAUAAGCACCGGCUAACUCUGUGCCAGCAGCCGCGGUAAUACAGAGGGUGCAAGCGUUAAUCGGAAUUACUGGGCGUAAAGCGCGCGUAGGCGGUUACGUAAGUUGGGUGUGAAAUCCCCGGGCUCAACCUGGGAAUUGCACUCAAAACUGCGUGGCUAGAGUGUGGGAGAGGAAGGUAGAAUUCCAGGUGUAGCGGUGAAAUGCGUAGAUAUCUGGAGGAAUACCGAUGGCGAAGGCAGCCUUCUGGCCUAACACUGACGCUGAGGUGCGAAAGCAUGGGGAGCAA